ensembl:lncRNA
GGCGUGACCAGCAUAUUGGCAGUUUCCCCGGGCUAAUCCCGGCGAUCUGUGGUUUGUUCUUCCAGUUAACUUUGUUCCAAAGGCUCCCGGGGAGGGGGUUUGGGGGAACGGGAAAAGCAGAAGGGAGCCAGAGAAGGGGAGAGGGGAAAAAACAAAGGUCUGGAUUUGGGACCUAGAUAAGGAGAGAAAGUAAAUAACCACCGCGCCCGGCAGGAGCUCAGUGGGUCUGGGCGGCCAGGCGUUAGCUGCUUGGUUCUCGUUGGCUGUUUCGGGGAGCUUGAAGGCCACCGCACCAAGGACACACACCACACACACACACACACAACACACACACACACACACCACACAACACACACACACACACACACAGAGGCACAGGCGCGCUCUCAAUGGAUACAAAAGUCUGGACGUUCUAGGGGCGAGGAGGGAGGGAGGGAGGAAGGGAGGAAAGGAGGAAGAGAGGGAAGGAGGAAGGGGGGCGGGCGGCGGAGAGCCCGGGGCGGGGGAGAGCCGGAGCCCGAGCACAGCCGGAGCCCGAGACCGAGCCGGAGCCGGAGCCGGAGCUGGAGCCAGAGCGACUGCGCCCGUGCCGGCUCCCCUAGCCAUGCGUGCCGCGGGCCCGUGAAGGGAGCCGCUGUGCGCCGCUGGCUGCCAAGUCCUUGCCCCGCUUUUGUCUCGCCCUACAGUGAAUCGGAAGAUGGAGAUGGAUGUUAAGGGAGUUUCUCAGUGCCCGGAGCCCAUCCCCCACUCUCAGGGGGCUGGCGGAGGCUGUCAGCAGCCACCACCACCACCGCCACCGCCGCCGCCACCGCCGCCGCCGCAGGAUGAGCAGCCUGGGGAAAGUGCGGCCGCCGGGGACAGCCACCCAGAGAAGAGACCAAACAGUGAGAAAGAAGACAAAAAGUGAAAUAGUGGAUCCUCAAUCCGCAGAAGCUGACGUCAGGCUCAGAGCAAAUUAUAAGAGUCACCCACUGAAAGCCAGUCCCCUAAAUCUUCCAAAGAAGCAGAUGGAGCCCAGUUGAGUGAAGGUAAGAAAUGACCUUUUCUUCUUUCCUUCCCCCCUCAUCCAUUAUUCCUUAGAAUAUUGAGACUAGUACCUGACUGGCUCUCCAUUUUAUCUCUCCUGCACAGAUACCAUCAAAUGGCCAAGAACUUUAAUGAAGACCAGCUGCUUUUGCGUGUUUCACCCUGGCUUUGAUUUAGAGGAGCCCUGGAGGAUGGAGUCACCACGGAAAAAGGAACAGCAGAUCUCAGUUUCAACGACCCCGAGACCCAGUCAAGAGGAUAGUGAGGCCUAGGACCAUACCACUUUAUUUUGGACUCAGACAAGUUGGAGAGCCCUCACCGAACCCUCUUCUUGACAUUUAAAAUCUUGUAUUACAAUGUACAAGUUAAAAAAAAACAUGCCUGAGCAUUAUCUGUGUUAAUUUGGAAGAAGCAUCUUCCGGUUCUGAACUGUUUACUUGUUUAUUCUGCCUUGUCUAUUUCCCCCCCUUUCUUCACCCAAGAAAUCCUGAAUAGGAAAUUAGAGUGAAAAUGUGAUUUUGUCCUGGAAACAGCUUUACAAAGGCAACAGUUUUAUCCCCCCUCCAAAUUUUCAAAGUUAUGGUCCUUGAAUGUCUUUUGUCAGGGUCCCAAGACAUCUGACUGCAAGAUUCUUAUUAUCUCCUGGCAUAGGGACAUUUGAAUGAAUAAAGAAGAUCUCAGAAAGUGUUUUCA